rnacentral:rRNA from 1 species
UCCGUAGGUGGCAAGCGUUGUCCGGAUUUACUGGGCGUAAAGAGCGCGCAGGCGGUCGAUCAAGUCGAGUGUGAAAGCCCCCGGCUCAACUGGGGAGGGUCAUUCGAUACUGAUCGACUCGAAGGCAGGAGAGGGUAGUGGAAUUCCCGGUGUAGUGGUGAAAUGCGUAGAUAUCGGGAGGAACACCAGUGGCGAAGGCGACUACCUGGCCUGUUCUUGACGCUGAGGCGCGAAAGCUAGGGGAGCAAACGGG